rnacentral:rRNA from 1 species
UGGGGAAUAUUGGGCAAUGGGCGCAAGCCUGACCCAGCAACGCCGCGUGAGGGAAGAAGGCUUUCGGGUUGUAAACCUCUGUCCUUGGUGACGAAAAAAAUGACGGUAGCCAAGGAGGAAGCCCCGGCUAACUACGUGCCAGCAGCCGCGGUAAUACGUCGGGGGCGAGCGUUGUCCGGAAUUACUGGGCGUAAAGGGUGCGUAGGUGGCCUUUUAAGGUGGAUGUGAAAUCCCCGAGCUUAACUGGGGUGGUGCAUCUAAUACUGGAGGGCUAGAGUGCAGGAGAGGGAAGCGGAAUUCCUAGUGUAGCGGUGAAAUGCGUAGAUAUUAGGAGGAACACCAGUGGCGAAGGCGGCUUUCUGGACUGGAACUGACACUGAGGCGCGAAAGCGUGGGGAGCAAACA